rnacentral:rRNA from 1 species
UACAUGGGGUGCAAACGUUGCUCGGAAUCAUUGGGCGUAAAGCGCGCGUAGGCGGUUACUUAAGUUGGAUGUGAAAGCCCUCGGCUUAACCGAGGAAGUGCAUCCAAAACUGAGUAGCUAGAGUACGAAAGAGGGUCGCGGAAUUCCCGGUGUAGAGGUGAAAUUCGUAGAUAUCGGGAGGAACACCGGUGGCGAAGGCGGCGACCUGGUCCUUGACUGACGCUGAGGCGCGAAAGCGUGGGGAGCAAACAGG